ensembl:lncRNA
CCCCCACCCCACCCCCACAGCUGGGGACACUGUCGCUUCUGCGCUGCCCCCCCUUCAGGCCUCCCUGCUGGGCCUGCCCUCCCCGGACCUUGGCCUCUUCAUCUGGAGGACCUCCGUAUCCCACGUACCCCCCCAACGCUUCAGCCACAUGCGGCAGACUGGACACCUCAAAGGACUGAGCACCCCGAAAGACUUUGUGCCCCACAAGACUGAGGUCCCUGGGAGUGUGUUUCCCCCCCCCCCCCCCCCCCUCCCUCUGAUGCACUUUUGGUUAAUCAGGUGGGCUUGUGUGAGUGUGUGUGUGUGUGAGUGUGUGAGUGAGUGAGUGAGUGAGAACAUGUGUGUUUCAGUAGAAUCCAGGGCUUUACCUUGCGCUGACAUAAGUGCGACCCCAUCCGACCCCUGCAGCAACAAAAGAAAGCAGCAGCCUCGAUGCAUCACCGCUGUUUGCCUGCCUGUGGACGGAGGUCUUCCCCGCUCGCUCGCUCGCUCGCUCGCUCGCCUCGCGGUGCUCAUGUGACUGCUCUCGACCUCAUGACGGGCGGACGCUCUCACUGACUGACUGAAGGAACACCAGACAUUGGGCUGGGAGAAUCACCCAUCCCCUCUACAAGUCCCUGUCAGACAGACAUCUACCCAUCUAGCUGUGGCCAUGACGGUUGCACCUUUUCCUCUCUGUGUGUGUGUGUGUGUGUGUGUGUGUGUGUGUGUGUGUGUGUGGAGAAACUAAAAAAGGUUGUCAACUGAAAACUUCAUGAAUUGUAAAUUGAACUGUGGACCUGAUAUUGGCUUUGCUCUUCUCCUCAGGUGAGUCAGACACACACACACACACACACACACUUUCAGGUGCCGCUACCUGACAGAGGUCCUCUGUGACGCGUGUCACCUGUAGGCUUGGCCCAGCUCAGUCGUGUGUGUGUGUACAUAGCGUGUGUGUAGAGGAUAAUAUAUUAGCACAGGGACCACUACCCCAGUGGAAGGGCUUCUUUGGCCCUCUGGGUACCAUCAAACCCUUGCGUAAUCAUUUUCAUUUUCGAUUCUUAUUUCUAUUCUUUAAUUUUAUUAUAGGUUGGUAAUCUUGCUUAAGUACACAACUUAUUGGCUCAAUGCCAGAUCAGUUACACAAGAUUUGGCACGGCAUAAAAAGAAAAAGUAUAUGAUAUGCUCAUUAAACUAAUUUGGCACAUGUACGCUGAUACACACAAACAAACACACACACACACACACACACACACACACAAUCACUUUGCAGAAUGUAUUUUGCAGCCUUUUCCCCGUGCUUUGGUGUGCCGUACCUGAAGCAAUAACGCUAUCUCCAAAGACGUUUAAGAGAUCACUACUUAUUUUUAAACUGUUAUUUACCUGUUUCAGUGCUACAUUUUUUUUUUUUUUUGUUACAUUGAAUGUGUUUACUAUGUUUGUUUGUUUGUUUGUUUUUGAGCACCCCACACAAGUAAUGAAAACAAAUACCAAACCUGUUUGCUAUGAUUGAUAUUCAUGUGUUGAAUAAUUUAACCUGUGAAUUGUGUCAUUUGUGUCUGAACACUUGAGUUGCUAAUCAUCUGUCUGCAUGGAUCACAAAGAUGUUAAGCUCUUGUCUAGCCACUUCAGAGCACAGUGCUCUCCUCUGCAAUACACACACACACACACACACACGCACACACACCUUUCCAGAGUAUACUAGUUUACCACAGGGGUGUACAUCACCCAGCAAUGUGUCCCUGCAGUGUGCGUUAUGAUGCAGCAGAAUACUUCAGUGUUAUUUUGGCCUUAACUGGCCAUCAGAUCAGCUCAUCACUACAGGACUGGAAGUAGACUGAGAUGUGCUGGGUUCAGGGGACGGUCAGAUUCAGAUUCACAGGAGGGAUCGACUCCUGAGGGGUCUUCAGUCCGCUCUGGGAGGGAUGGACUCCUGAGGGGGGGCGGUUGCAUGGCCCCCAGGUGUGGAAGAGCUUCAGGAGCUCUGGAUCUGUCUCCCUGGAAAACCAGCCAUCUGAGAGAGGCAUGCCACUAUAGGACCUUGACCACAGCACAAACACACACACCACUUUGAGUUGAUUUGCUGACCUUUCCGUAUUUUUCGUUGUCAUUCCAUUUUUCUCUACAUUCUGGAAUGGUAAGGGACUCACCAUGGCAACUAGUUAUUCCAUAUUUUAUGACCCUAAUUAAUCACAUUCUGACUAUUAGUGGAAACUUGCAGUUUCUAAAUGUUUCACAUGUCGAGACCUGACAAGCACAAGGUUGUGUAAGUGGACCAGUUCGGCCAUGUUUAGAAACCGGUUCACAGAACUCAUUUUACAACACGGGGGGGGGGUGUGUAGUCCAUGUGUUGUGUUGUGCAUCGCUGCAUAAUUAGUUCUGCAGUAAUGCUUUUAAACCUUUAAAACAGCGCAGCGCAGCGCAGCGCAGCCUGUGACUGACUGGCUGACUGGCUGACUGGCUGUGUCUGUGGAUAAUUCUGAUCCGAGAACUGUAUGAAUCCUUUCGCUAACAGAUGCCAUGGUCAGAGUUCAGACUGGUGACGCACGCUUAUACACACAUUUGCCUGCAGCACUGCAGGCAACAGAGCGUCACUGUGGGCAUUGUUAGGGAGCACACACACACACACACACACACUUCCUGCUCUCUUCAGUGACAGUGACUGUGACUGGUGUCUUCAGUGCAAAGCCCCAUGGUGCAUUGUGUUUUUGUGCUUCAGUGCAAAAGCCCCAUGGUGCAUUGUGUGUGUUUUUUUUUGCUUUAGUGCCUGGGUUCCUUUCCUAGUGUUCUCAAUGCACUGACGUUUUACACUAAAGCUGUAUGAAAAGCUGCAUUCUAAAGACGCUACGAGAAGCCCUUGCGUUUCGGAGCAUUUCAUAUCCUGAAGUCUGAGGGUCACCUCACACCUCACCCCCCCCCCACUGAUUUACUGAACAGUGGACUAGACUUAGUUCUGUGGAAUGUUUGUUGGGAGCGUCGUCUUCACGCUGACGUGGCGUUGCCCUCGGCCGGUACCACUCCUGUUGGUAUGGAUGGAUGGAUGGCGUUAGAGAGGUGGUGCUUCCUCCCUUUCUCCACUUGUUUUGGGAUAAGCUCUGUGUGGUGGACUCCUUAGGGGCCCGGCCCGUUUGGUUUGGGGUUUCGCCCUGUAGCGGAACAGAGGACACCCAGCUGAUGAUGAUGAUGAUGAUGAUGAUGAUGAUAAUAUACUCAGGUAUGUGAAAACCAAUGAUUUAUUUUUAAUGCGAAGGCGAGGAGGAGGAGGAAGACUAGCGAGAGCAGAGGACUAGCAGAGGCUGUUUGAUAGCAGUGACUAGCGCUGUUGGGUUAAAGUGAGUUGGAAUGAUUUCUGGGAGGGGGGGGGGGCGGGGGCGCGUAGCGGGCUGCUCCCAGGAGGUAGAAGACUGUGGAACGGCUCAGGCCCCCCACGUCUGGAGUCUCGGCUGUUCGCUGGGUUAUGGGUCGAGCCACUAGGUGGCAGUAAAGGGGUUCCAGACAGACAACACACACAUUAGCAUUUCAAGGUGUUUAACCUGCUUUUGUAUGACAUGCUAUUUCAUAUCAUUUUUUUUUUUUCUAGAUUUUUUGUUUUUGUUUUUUGUAUGUGAGAAUAUGUACAGUUUUGCAUGUCAUAGGUGUAAUCACUUGUUUUUAGGACGAAAAGCUGGAUUUUCCACCUUCUGUUUAUUAUUAUUAUUAUUAUUAUUAUUAUUAUUAUUAUUAUAAUAUUGAGUUGAUUUGCUUGUGUUUUGAAUGGUUGGCAAGUGAAAGCGGACAGCCCACUACAAUGAUGUAGAUUCCUUUUGUUUUCCUUUGCACAGAAAUAUUUAAGGUGGAAUGUUUUAAGACUAAAGUGUAUGGGACUGGCCACCUCCAUUCUUUUAUGUGGAAAAAAAAGCAUAAUAACCUGACUUUGACAUAUUUCAAUAAAAUGGGGAACUGUUAGUUGCUUCUUAAUUGUCUAAUUUGCCUACGUGUUGAGGUACAGAUCUGAAAAA